rnacentral:lncRNA from 1 species
ACUAAUGCCCGUUUUCACCAACAACCUCUUACCGUUUCCCUAACUAAAAGCUACUUUUAAUAAGGACCCCUCCCAAUUUGACACCUACCUAAAUUCAUUUUCACCACACUUGUACAUGGAUCCCUUAAAUAAGUUUAUUUUGGCAGAGAAGAGAAAACGAGGAUAAACCUUUCUUGCAGAAGAAAAAGACAAGCUAGUGAAAUUGCUGACGUCUCAUAGAUACACAAUAUUAAACAAAAAACGGAUGGGACCACGAACGAAGCCAAAAACAAAGCUUGGAUCCAGUUACAAAUAGUUUUAAUGCGAUAGGAACCGUUUACAGGUAAAUGUGAAUAAUAUCUGUGUAUAAUAAUAUAAGAUAUUGCCGUUCAACUGUGUUCCUUGUAUUACUGUCGACUUCAUUGUAUUUUUGUUCUCCAUGAGUUGAUGGAUUUAAGUAUGGGGUUAAAAUUAUACAUUUAUUAUAUUUAUUUAGUUUCAGGUGGUGCGAGAAAUUGGAAAGACGUGUAAAAACAUGCUGCGCCCAGCCCACCUCAAAUUGAAUUGGUGCAGGAGGAUGAUGAUAAUGUUUGGUACAUCAUAUGAGGACUAAUAUUAAAAUAUUUGUUUACUA